GCAGGGUGGGCCAGGUGGUCAGAUAAGGAAGCCACCUCUGAGGGUCCACGACAGGCGAGAACCUGGUGGGCCUUAAACCUGCAGGGAGGAAGUUUGCAGCCUGCCAUGCGCUGGCACCAGAAAGCGCCUGCUCUGGGGAGCUGGGCCCAGCCCUGAGUCAGCCAAACCCCUGGGACUCCCAGUUGGCGCCAGGAACUGGACUGCAGGCCGCCCGUGGGCUCUUGGUUAUAUCUCCGAAUGCCAUUAAAGUCCAGAGCAGGCCCUCGCAGGCCAGGCCGUAUUUAGCCGCAGGUUCACCGGGAGAAUAUUUCAGUGCUAUGUGAAAGCAGAGGCCUGGGCCGGGUUGCAGGCUGUCACAGGGCUAGAGUAGGCUCGCUCUCUCGCAGGCCUGGCCAAGAUGGCCGGGUGCUCGCUGGUACGGAUGCCCGGAGUCCUUGCCAGGGCUUCAGGGUCACGUGACGGACAGGCGCGUGGGAGCAGGGUGUGUGCUGGGGAAAGGUUUUCGGCCUGGUUUUGUUCUGCUAGUUUUGAAGCUGCUCCCACUCCCAGGCCGCGCCUAGGCAGCCGCCAGCCCCUCUCUCUCUGCGAUGGCCCCGUGUGAUACCCGGCUCUCGCUGAGCUAGGAGCCCCCUUUUUAGGCAUCAGCCGCUGCGGAGGGCUUAACCCUUUCCAGCUCCUCCUCCCCGCCGGGCCAGUUGCCAUGGUGGGGGGCACCUGCCUGCAGAGACCUUGAAGGUCAACGUCCCGGGGAACACUGUGCCCCCCUUCCUUCAUCUCAGAGUGGCCCCUGGACCUCAGCAACGAUUUCCCCCAUUUUGUGCCAUCUGCGAUAACCACCGAGCUCCCCUGCCCAUCCCAGAUAAUUUCAUCUGGGUUUCCAAAUUGACAAACUCACUCACAUUCCCCCAGGAGGUACUGAUGGAUUUGUGGCUCGCUGAGGUCCUUAACGAGGGUUUGGAAGACUCCCCCAGGGUAUGGGGGAAGAAGCCUGGCGCUAGGGAAUCACCCUGGUAGUCCUUUGGGAACCAGCUCUGGGAGUCCAGACCUGCAUGGUUUGCUGGGUGCAGAGGGGGGCAGUGGAUGCCGAAGCUGCCGCCUGUGACACAUCCGGGCAAUUGUGGAGAAGACGCUGGAGCCGCCGCACCCGGGAACGCACUCACUUGUUCCAAGUGUGCCCUAACGUUGUACCUUUUCUCCUUUUUAGUCUGGGUUCUCGGCGCUUCCUGCCAGCAGGUUCAUUACCGCAGGGAAAAUGAGGGACUUUUGGGGGCAGAUGUGUUUGCAUUCCAGUAUCAUAAUGCCCCUAAAAAUCCUUAUUGCUCUUGCAGUAUUCCUCGGGGUCCCGCCGACUACAAGAAGAGAGACACGUGUCCCCCAGCUGUCAGCAAGAGGUCCUCUGGCCCCCGGGGUAGAUCUCCCCUAACCACCAUGAGAAAUUAAGCAGAGCCACCCUGGAUGCAGGCUGCAGAACCUGCCCUCUGCUCUCCAGGGGCAGACGGUAGGAGCUCAGGCCUGGGAACCAGCCAGCUUUGCUCUGGGGGUUGUGGGGGAAGAAACAGGCGCUACCUGUUUGACGGGCCAGGUCCUCCUGCAGGGCCUCUGGGAUCCUCACCUUGGCAGGGGGCCCUAGGCAGUCCUGGCUAGUCCCCCAGCUCCCGAGACAGCACACUUGGCUGCUCUCUGCCUCGGUUUCCCCAUUUGCCAAGGGAAGGGCCACAGCCCAGGCUCUGGCCUCACAGAGCCCCCAAGAUGCUAGUGAGUCCAGGAAGCAGUGAUGGACAAGUGGGAGGGUGCAAGCUUCGCCAACAGGACGUCAAAGCAUGCAACAUGGAGCGUGCUGACACCAGUAUUUGUCCACAGUGCCUAAAACGGCACUCGGGAGGGGAGAGUGCAGCCCAGCAGCAAGCCCCAGGGUCUGGAAUCAGCCAGGCCUGCAUUCCAGCGCCGCAACCCUCCGGCUGUGUGACCCCAGGCCGGUGACUCAGCCUCUCUGGGCCUCCGGUUCCUCAGGAGGAGCCUCGCCAGGCUAACAUGCCUAUCUUUUAAGCAGUACCUGGCUAAGGAAGUGCAUUAUUGUAACUCGCACAGCUCAUGCCUCUGUGGUAAGUGGUUGGUUUUCCAUUCAUGGCAGGGAUAUGGGGAGGGUUCCUCCCCCCCCCCCCGCCUUGUUUUUUAACCUCAAUUUAUGUAAGGAAAAACACAGUUGGUCUCUUGAAAGAAAAAAUGCUGCACAGGUGGCCCAGGGGUGGGGCAGGGAUCAAGGUGGUCGUCGGGAAUUUUCUUAGGGGCACUUGGAGCGUUUUUUAUUUCCUUAGGGAUUUUCUAUUCCAUGGGGUGGGGGGAGGGGAGAAGAGGGAGGUUUCCCUCUAAACCCCACGGAGGGCUCCAGCGGUUCCAAAUCUGGGCGUCACAGGUGUCCCUUGUCAGGGGGAGCCGCCCACCGUGCACCCCAACACCCCUCAGCCCCGCCCCCAGUGCCAGUUCCUCUCAUUGUGGAAUCAGGUGCCCCCCCUAGUGCGCUCGUGCCAGCCAGCCCACCUCUCCGAGGCUCGGAAAACGGGGAGCCCAGUGAACCCGCUAUGCGCGAGGACGCACAGAGUAACGGGGCUCAACGCAGAGGCCACGAUGGCUCGUGAGCGGGCGCCACGGCCCCGAGGGGCCCCUGUGCUGCACGCAGGCCGGGGUGUGCCUGGCCACAGGGAUCCCACUCCCCCCCCCCCCAGGGUGUUUUCGUAGGGAAGCAGCGGGCGCUCGCCCGGCCAGCAGGAACCAACUCUGGUUUCACUUUCUGCUGUGUCAUGGAGUGGGAGGGUGGCAGAGGGGCCCAGCUGGCCAGCUGCGUUGGGCACAGAGACCAGGGGACAGCUGCUCCCGGCACCCAAGCCCCGCCCCGCCGGCUGCUGCGUGGGGGAUGGGCUCACGGGGCACCCCUCUCCACGGGCACGGCGGGGAGAACCCCCAAGAGCCAUGGGACCUCGAGAUUGGACAACCACGCAGGCCUGGAACUGGCUCUGCCCCAGCAGGGACACCUGCACCUGCCAGCUCUACCGUGUGCAAAGCGCGGUGCCAGGGGCCCGAGUCCCCGCAGGGAGCGAGGCCCAGCCUCUGCCCGCACCGUGGGUCUGUGGAGGCAGAUAUAAGUGCCUGCACGAGGAACGCAGCGUGGGUUAGGGUGAAGGCGCCACGCGGAGUGCUGUCACUCGGCGGCCCCAGGCAGGGGUCUAGAGCGCAUGCGUAUCUCUGAAGUCCUGGCGCGGCAGACGCAGGGGCCGAGUAGCAGGUGUUUUGACUUCGGCUGCAGACGGCGCCUGUGUCGCUGCCCAGUUCCGUCCUUGGCCUUCCAGGUGCAGAAUAAUAGGGCGCCGCAGAGGGAUCUAAGAAGUGACUGAAGAGCCCGGCCUGGCCUCUGCGCUAUAUAUGUCUUAGCCGUUAUGUAAGAGUAAUGACGGCGAACCGCAUCGUCACAGCAGGCCGGCCGGGGCCGCGGAGGCCAUCCUCUGUGCCGGCUCCACCUCCCCACGAGCUGGGCCCUGCAGGGUGACUGGGGCCGGCCCCAUGCUGGACUUCAGCCGUGGGGCCCUUGAACGGGUUCAUGCUCUGCUAUUGUCAACUUGAACUUCUGAAUUUUUAUGUGAAAGGGCAAGAGCGCUCUUCCAUACAGUGGUUCGUUCCCCCAGCUUCCAGGGCUGGGCCUGUCCAGGGCCAGGAGCCCGGAACCCAAUCUGGGUCCCCUCCAUGGGUGGCAGGGACCCAAUGCUUCAGCCAUCACCCGCUGCCUCCCAGGGUGUGCGUGAGCAGGAUGCUGGACUCAGAAGCAGAGAUGGAGGCUGACCCCAAGCAGCCUCUCACCCACUGCACCAAACACCCAACCCUUGACAUUCUUAAUUUUGGACCGAGGGGCCCUACCUUUUCAUGUUGCAAGUCAUGUAGGCAAUUUUGCCCUGUUUUCAUGCGCCACGAAGUCUUCACGAGUAACCACCAUCAGCAGUAUGAAUACAGCAGGCAGCUGGGUCCAGAGCAAUUUUCCAGCUCAUCAAUUCAGCCUUUGCUGUGCAGCUGAAACGCUGGGGUGAAUAUGAAGAUUCAGUACAUGGGGCCAGCAUCGUGGCUUAAGCCACCGCCUGCAGUGCUGGCAGCCCAUAUGGGUGCCAUUUCCAGUCUGGACGCUGGCUGCUCCACUUCCGAUCCAGCUCCCUGCUAAUGCGCCUGGGAAAGCAGCAGCAGGUGGCCCAGGUGCUUGGGCCCCUGCCACCGAUGUGGGAGACCCAGAUAGAGUUCCAGGCUCCUGGCGUUGGCCUGGCCCAGUCCUGGCUGCUGCAGCCAUUUGGGGGAGUGAACCAGCAAUGGAAGGUCGCUGUCUCUGCCCAUUGCUCUCUGUGAUCCUGCCUUUCAAAUAAAUAAGUACAUCUUUAAAAAAAAAAAAAAAAUUCACUUCAAGGCUCAGUUGCCCAAAAUCCUGUCUUCUGCAUGGAAAGCUGCAGAACUGACAGCUGAGUUGAGACCAUGGCUCUUUUGGCACUGUGUCUGCAGGUCCUAGCAUAUAUUAGCUAGGACCAGCUCUGUUAACAGCUGUACACGGAAACCAACGAAUGGGAGGUUGCUGCAUGGUUUCGAACCAAACCUACUAAAAUGACAUCUUCCAGAGAAGCAGGUCAGUGGUGCUGUGCCAGUCCUGGCCACCCCAACUUUUUUCUGGACAGCCCCCGAGGAUCUGGGAGACUCAGAUCUCUUACGACCCUCUCCCUGGGGCCCCGGGCUGUGGCGCAGUAGGUUCAAGCGCUCUCUACCAUGCCAGUAUCUGAGCACCGGUUUGAGUCCCAGCUGCCCCAUUUGCAACCCAGCUCCCUGCCGACGCACCUGGGAAAACAGCAAAGAUGGACCAAGUUCUUGGGUCCUUGCCAAUCACGUGGGAGACCUUGCUCCUGGCUUUGGCCUGACCCAGCCCCGAUCAUUGUCGCCAUUUGGGAAUGAACUAGCGGAUGGAAGAUCUCUCUGUAACUCUGCCGUUUAUAUAAAUAAAUAAUUAAAAAAAGAAGAUCCUCUCCCUUCCCCCCAAACCUGCUGAAGGCUUGUAGUAGAUUCUUGUUUGGCGUCUGGUGGGAAGUUCAAAGGCAACACAAGUGUCUAAAGGCCUAUAGGCCUGCUCUGUGAAUCCUGUUACUAAGAGGCAGAGUGAACUCCAAGAACACUUUGGUUCUGCCCGGGUUCAAGACCCAACCAGGGGACAGGGGUCAUCGUUUCAUGGGCUGUUAAAGGAGAGGACUGCAAGUCAAGAUCCUUUUUCCUUGAAAUUAAAAUUCCUCUCCACUCUGCAGAUGCCAAGGUAUAAAUAUUACCAAGAAGCAAAGAAUCAUUCCAAAAGCCUUUAAGAUAUUUGUAACAAAAAUAAACAUUUCUGCGGUUCAUGGCCAGCUCUUUGCACAGGCACGGCCCGUCGUCACCAUGACAAGCCUGUGAAAGCAUUACUGUCCUCAUUUGCUAUAUAAUGUCAUAACCAGCUCGAGUGCUUCCCACGUGGGAAGUCAGUGCAGGGACACAGCAGCAUGGAACGCAGGUCCUGUCACCAGCCUCAAGCUUAGAGGAACUGGCUUGUUCAGAGCCACACGUGCAGCAGGUGGCUAAGCGAGGGGUUCAGCUUGCCUCUUCUAUCCCAAGGGUAAAUCUCCAAAGUUUUCCAGGCUCUCUGGUCUCUGCCUUGAAACUAGACAAUAGCCUCAGACAAUACACGAAUGAAUGUAGGUAGCUGUGUGUUCUAAUAAAACUUUAUUUACAAGAACAAGAAAUGGGCCAAAUUUGGCCCCCAGGCCAUGGUUUGCCAGCCCCUGUUCUAGACCAGAAACCUGCCUUUCAGGUGGAACAAAGUGAACUGGCCCUGGCCUCUUGUUCUCCCCGCCCCCACCCCACCCCCCAUGAGGGAAUCAAGUUACAUUCUAGAACUGAUGGCCAAGGUCUCUCCCUAGACUGUUAGCUCCUCCUUCCUUAAAGGAGUUCUGAAGCUCUUGGAAGUUGCAACUAGUCCUUAAUAGUCAUUGCUAACAUUUUUACAUUGUAACUUUCAUAGCUGUCAACUAACAUUUUUUAAUUAAGAAUCUCAUAAAAAUUUAGUAUCACUUUAUUUGAAAAGGCACAGAGAGAAAACUCUUUCAUCCAAUGGUUCGUGGUCCCAGUGCCUACAUCAGCCACGGCUGGACCAGGCUGAAGUCAGGAGCCCAGAGCUCAAUGUGAGUCUCCCACAUGGGGUGGCAGGGACCCAACUGUUGAACCAUCAGGGCUGCCCCACAGGUUAUGCAUGAGCAGAAAGCUGGAUCAGAAGAGUAGUCAGGGCUCAAACCUGGCAUUCUGAAAUGGGAUGUGGGAGUCCCAGGCAGCUCUUCUUUUUUUUAAAAAAAGAUUUUAUUUGUUUAUUUGAAGGGCAGAGAUAGGGAGGUAGGAGCCCAAUUCCUUGAACCAUCACCUGCUGCCUCCCCAGAGUGCAUAUUAGUAGGGAGCUGGGAUCAGGAACAGAGCUGGGACUCAGACCCAGGCACUCUGCUGUGGGCCCUGGUGACCCGAGCAGUGUCUUAACCGCUAGGUAGUGUCCUCCCUAAGACACAACACUUUCUACUGUUGCAGACCUUCAGGCAGAGUUUCAACAUUCACAUUUCCUUGUGUGGAUAGAAUUGGGCAAAUGAGGGAUUGGACAGACUCUGAAGUGAGCCAGUGAUGGGCGGGGAAACAAAUAGCCCUAGCGUGAGUCAGGAAGGGGCUAUGUAAUUCGCAGGAUCCAGGGGAAAGCCAAACCAUAGAACUCGGUGUUCAAAAAUUAAGACUUGCAGGGAAGGGCAUUUGGCCUCACGUGGCCUAGCAAUUAGAUACAGUGUCCCACAUCAGAGGACCUGGGUUCAAUUCUCAGCUCUGGCUCCUGACUCCAGCUUCCUGUUAAUGCAGACCCUGGGAGGCAGCAGAUGGAGUGCCUGGUUCCUGCCUUUGGCCCCAGUCCAGCUCUGCUGUUGUAAGCAUUUGAGGAGUGAGCCAAUGAAUGGGAGGGAGCUCUCUAUGUAUCUCUCAAAUGAAGAUGAAAAAUCAAAAUUAAGACAUUCAAGAGGGGCCAGCGCUGUGGCACAGUGGGUUAAAGCCCUGGCCUGAAGCACUGGCAUCCCAUAUGGGCACCGGUUCAAGAUCCGGCUGCUCCACUUCCCAUCCAGCUCUCUGCUAUGGCCUGGGAAAGCAGAAGAUGGCCCAAGUGCUUGGGCCCCUGCACCUGUGUGGGAGACCCGGAAGAAGCUCCUGGCUCCUGGCUUCAGAUUGGUGCAGUUCUGGCUGUUGCAGCCAAUUGAGGAGUGAACCAUUGGAUGGAAGACCUCUCUCUCUCUCUCUCUCUGCCUCUCCUCUCUCUGUGUAACUUUCACUUUCAAGUUAAAAUAAAUAAAUCUUAAAAAAAAAAAAAAAAAGACAUUCAAGAUGGCGACAGCAGAGCCUGAUCAAGUGUGGUCCUGCAUGAGGGCACAGGUUCCCUGUGUCUGAGGCCAGCCCCGCCCUGAGGUUAGCCAAAGGGUCUGCCAAGCAGAACUGAUUCUGUGGAUUUGGGAAUCCAGAACCUGCCACUCCUGGGAGAGACACAAGCACCAUUUACCCCUAAUCCCUGGAAAGCUCCCAAAGAAAGCUGGGUCUCCCAUGCCAUGUAGAGCAAGAUGCAAACUCGUUUCAUCUGAAUCCCCAAAAAUAAGAUGACCUCAGCUGACAUGUGGGUUAUAAGCACAUUUAAACAAAUUGUCUUAAGCCUUCUUCCCUAAGAGCCGCAGUUGUUUUAUGUGGCUGUAUCAUUUUGUCCUGGUUCCUGAGUGUACUCUGAUACCCCAGAUGACAGGGCUGCAGCCUUAAGAACAGAGGCCCCCCGGGGCCAGGGCUGCCCCAUAGUAGCAGGUGGCCAUGGUCCACACUGGCAUCCCUCUGUGACCCCAGAGGCUGCUCGGCCCAGAAAGAACACCAGCGCAACAAGCCUGGUUUCCUGUGCUUACCCAAACCCUCAGCCCCAUUACUCAAGAUCUUCACUCAAGACACUCAGCCAUUCAGAGCCCCCAGUGUGUGGGAUGACACCCACAGGUGCACUUAAGCUAACAGAGGCUUCUCAUGCAAGGGGCCCGGCCUGGGAAAGGUGGGGUGAGGGAGGAGGGACGGACUCAGUGAGGACUUCGCAGCCCUCCGGGUCCCCUCCUGAGAUUGUGUCGGUCGCUAGCCCAUAAUUCCUUUCUCCUGGGAUUCUGCACCUGCUUCAUCAAGUGCCCAGGCCUGGCCGGGAUCUUACACAACAAUCGAGAGAGACGCCACGCCUACGCUGAGGGGGCACGAGAUGCCGUCUGAAAGCUGGACAGACGUUUGAAAUGUGGUCACAAUAACGGAACAACCGCCAAAAGUAACUACAACCAUCAGUCUCGGUAGAUCCGCUGGCGGCCAUGCAGUCUAUGGACAGCCCGAGUGGCAUGGGAAAGCAGUGUCCAGCUCAGGAUGCAAUGGUUCUCAUUAGAAGGAAUGUAGCAGCGGCACAGACAGAAGGCCCUCGAGAUGGUAGACGGCUUUCUUUUAUUUUUCUGCCAGCCUUCUCUCCCCUACUUCCGGUAACAGACCCGCCACCCCCAGGGAAUACAGCAAAAGAUGGCUGCCCACGGUACUCCUCCCUCAGCUACAGUCAAUGGGCCAGGCCUGGACACGUGAUUCAACGUGACCAAUCACAGGAGCGCACGCCUGAGCUGAGCCUCAGUGAUUGGUGCCCGUGUGGUCACAUGACCAGGGCAGAGCAUGCAGACUCCAGCUCACCUGCUGACUUCUGCUGAAUCCUGCCCUGCGCUUGUGCUGGGCUUGCAAGUCCUGCUCUCUCUGCAGGCCUCCAUCGCCCCAGCCUCAUCCACAGCCCAGGCUCUCCUCCCCUCCAGGGACGGAGCUGUCCCUUCCAGGCCUAGCCUGUCCUGGCCUCACUCUGGUCCCUGUGACUUGCCCGCCAUGAGUGGAGACACCCAGCUCAGAGACCCAGGCUUCCUCAUCUGUGCGCCUCCAGCCCUGGGCAUGCAGCAGCCCGCGGCGGAGAGAGACGGACAGAGAGUGGACGAGGAGAAACAAGCUGGCUGGUUCCUCUUUGCUCUCAUCCCGAGGGCCGCUCAGGCUCUGCACUUGUUUUCUCUGCUGGCUUCUCAGGCUCACCUCCUUGUCUCUGCUCCCUGCUCGCUGAACAGCUCACCCCAGCCCCUGCCUCGAGCCCCUGCGCCCCCCCCCCCCCAUCCCUGUUCCCAGCUCUCCCAGCCUCUCUAGCACUGUCCCCAUGGCCUGCGCACCUCCGUGUGCCAUUGACUUCUGUACUCCACCUCUCUCACUUGACUUGGUUCCAGGAGGGCAGGCAGCUUUGUUUGGUUCUCUGGGCCUCUCGGCACCUGGGCCUGUUGCCUAGUAAGUGUUCACUUAAUAUCCGUGCAUUGACUUCUUUGCGUUCACCAAGGUACACAGGCCCACCUGCUGGCUUGCUGUCCUUUGUUUUAAAAUAAUUCUUUAAAAAAAUUAUUUGAAAGGCAGAGCCACAGAGAAAAGGAGAGACAAAGAGAGGUCUUCUCUCCGCUGGUUCACUCCCCAAAUGGCCAGGACGACUAGGGCUGGGCCAGGCUGAAGCCAGGAGUCAGGAACUCCAUCCAGGUCUCCUGCAUGGGUAGCAGGGGCCCCAGCACUUGGGCCAUCCUCCUCUGCCCUCCCAGGCACGUUAGCAGGGAGCUGGAUUGGAAUUCCGGCAGCGAGGACUGGAACUGGCACUCGCGUGGGAUUCCCUUGUCAUAGCCACAGCCUCCCACCUUGCGUUCUCAGGUGCCUGUGGUUUGUAGGGUCAGGGAAGUCAGGUUGUAGGCUUCCUAGGGCCACCGGAAUGAAUCGCUACAAGCCACGUGGUUUAAGCCACCGAAAUGUAUCACCUCCCAGCUGUGGAGGCCAGGAGGGGGAAGUGCGGCAGGGCUGCUCUGCCCGGGCCAUCCAGGGAAAAGCCCCCCUUCCCGCCACCAACUUCUGCUGGCUCGGUGGCCUGCAGCCCUGGCCGCACCUCGCCAGUCUCUGCCCGUCUUCUCUCCACGCUGUUUCUGCUUCUCUCUUACGAGGACACACAUCACAUUCUGUGCCCCUCUGGAUAUUCGAGAAUCAGCGCUUCCUCUCCAGAGCCUUCACCACUUCUCAAAAACUAAUGAAUACGGAAGGCAGAGAGACAGAAAGUGGGAGAGACCCCGAGAGGGUGGGCUUCCAUCUGCUGGCUCACUCCUCAAAUGGCUGCGACAGCUGGGGCUGAGCGAGGCCAGAGCUAGGAGCCUGGAACUCUAUCCAGGUCUCCCACGUGGGUGCAGGGGCCCAAGGACGGGCGCCAUCUUCAGCUGCUUUUCCAGGGAGCUGGAUUGGAAGUGGAGCAGCUGGGACACAAACCGGCAUCCCAGACAGAAGCUCAGCCUACACUGCGCCAUGACGCUGGCCCCUUUGUCCCUUCUUUGGCCACAUCAGGUAAGAGCCACUGACUGUAGAUUGUGAAGUGGACAUAUUUUUCAUCUCUCCAGGGGCCACCACAGCUUAUUUGCCUAAAGAAACCAGAAGAUUCCCCGGCCACUGCACCAUCUGCAGGUGGAUCCCACAGCGUGUUCCUGUUGUGUUAUUAUCACUGCCUACCCAGUGUGUGCAAGCGAUUUUUAAAACAGCAUUUUCUGUGUUUUAGUUACCCCAGGAUUUAAAAAGACAAUUCCAUGCUUCUGGUAGGAGAGCAGCCCCCAAGGGGAAAGGGUGGACAGGAAGGGGGGCUCCGCCUGGAUUCUCUCCAGGUCCAGUCGUACUGUGGAGGGAGUCACCACGACACACAGUCUGCACCAUCUUCCCGAGUGUUUUGUUUAGUGUUCCCAGUGCAUUUUUUUCUUUUUUUCUUUUCUUUUUUUUUUUUAAUUUUUGACAGGCAGAGUGGACAGUGAGAGAGAGACAGAGAGAAAGGUCUUCUUUUUGCCGUUGGUUCACCCUCCAAUGGCCACCGCAGUAGGCGCGCUGCGGCCGGCGCACCGCGCUGUUCCGAUGGCAGGAGCCAGGUGCUUAUCCUGGUCUCCCAUGGGGUGCAGGGCCCAAACACUUGGGCCAUCCUCCACUGCACUCCUGGGCCACAGCAGAGAGCUGGCCUAGAAGAGGGGCAACUGGGACAGGAUCGGUGCCCUGACCGGGACUAGAACCCGGUGUGCUGGUGCCAUAAGGUGGAGGAUUAGCCUAGUGAGCCGCGGCGCCAGCCCCAGUGCAUUUUUUUCUUUCCUCCUCAGAAGGCUGGAGACUUCGCAGUGUAUUCCAAAGGCACGACAGCUCUCAGGAGCACCUCGUUCUUGUGAAUGCCUUCUAACCUCGUCCUGUACUUAACCUGCCCCUCCUGGCCAACAUUUCAGUCCACGCCAGGAUUUGGCCUUAAAAAGAUACAUACUCUUUGGCACGUGGCCAGGCUCACAUGUGAGCUAAGUUCCUAGAAGUGUGAUUUCUUGGUCAGAGGAUAUGUGCUUUAAUUUCUACAACCAUCGCCCAGCACCCCUCAAAAAGGUCAACACACACACGUCCACCAGCAGGGCUUGCGGGACACCGCCGGGGGCUGCCGUGUCCUCCCACGCCAGUGAGCAGGCAGUGUGUCAGGGAACGAAGGCACAGGCGAGGUAAGGGGACUUUAUGUGCAAAUCUGGGCUGGGGGUGGAGGUGCCCUCCCAGGCUGUCCCUGUAGCUCUCAUCUGCCUGGGUUUGAUAAACAAAGGCAGAGUCUGGGGAGGUGAGCCAGAACCGUACAGCGAGAAGCAUUGUGCAAGCCAGUAUUUAUUUCUUGAGUGUGGGUAGAACUUAAAUAUGGUCAAAACAUGCUCUUCUUUUAAUUUACACAAACAAAUAUGUUCCCAGGCUCACACCUCCGGUGCCAAGUUUCUAGGGGAAACGAGAUUGUCCUGUGAGAUGAGAAACCACUAGAGAGAAUAUGUGAAUGGGAAAGCCGCUGGGAGUUAGCGCUGCGUGCCCAGAACCGGCUACAGAGGAGCGGCUCUGUCCCGAUUGCAGAGAAACCUGCCAGCACUUGGAGCCAACGAGACGUGGAAACAGGUCAAGGCCAGAGGACGAGAGAGCUCCAGUUGUGAGAAGGCGGCCUGCUCGGCUUGGCCCGGCCUCCUCCCUCCUACCAGCAAGGCGUGCCCGGCGAGGGGCUGAUGAACCCAGGGAGAAGCCACAAGGCUACAAUAGACGGCGGGGAGAGAGCCUGCAGGUGCGGAUGGGUGCGGAUGGAUGCGACCAGCUGCAGGAGUGAGCCCCGUUUGGAUCCUGGUUGUACCAACCACGAAGGAAACAUUUAGGAGACGCAGAGAUAUUUGGAGGCAGACUAGACAUCCCCGUUACUAUCAUCGUGGAGGUCCGGGCGGGAGAACAAAAAAGCUCUUUUGGAAACCUGUGCUCAGAUAAUUAUGCCUGGGCGCGGAUGUCUCGGGAGGAUCCCAGAGGAAGACAUGAAGGCAGGCUCCUGGACAAGACAGAGGGUGUCCAUGCUGUGUGCUGCUCCUCCUCCCUGCAGGCAGGCGUCCCCACCCUGACCAGGUCAUCAGCCCAGGAAAUGCACGCGGAACACGCGCCUGGCUCGCCGUGGCCACAGAGGUGAUAAUAAACACGCAGCCUGGUUAC